rnacentral:rRNA from 1 species
UCGGUAAUGAUCCCUCCGCAGGUUCACCUACGGAGGCCUCCGUAGGUGAACCUGCGGAGGGAUCAUUACCGAGUUUACAACUCCCAAACCCCAAUGUGAACGUUACCAAUCUGUUGCCUCGGCGGGAUUCUCUGCCCCGGGCGCGUCGCAGCCCCGGAUCCCAUGGCGCCCGCCGGAGGACCAACUCAAACUCUUUUUUCUCUCCGUCGCGGCUUCCGUCGCGGCUCUGUUUUACCUUUGCUCUGAGCCUUUCUCGGCGACCCUAGCGGGCGUCUCGAAAAUGAAUCAAAACUUUCAACAACGGAUCUCUUGGUUCUGGCAUCGAUGAAGAACGCAGCGAAAUGCGAUAAGUAAUGUGAAUUGCAGAAUUCAGUGAAUCAUCGAAUCUUUGAACGCACAUUGCGCCCGCCAGUAUUCUGGCGGGCAUGCCUGUCCGAGCGUCAUUUCAACCCUCGAACCCCUCCGGGGGGUCGGCGUUGGGGAUCGGCCCCUCACCGGGCCGCCCCCGAAAUACAGUGGCGGUCUCGCCGCAGCCUCUCCUGCGCAGUAGUUUGCACACUCGCACCGGGAGCGCGGCGCGGCCACAGCCGUAAAACACCCCAAACUCUGAAAUGUUGACCUCGGAUCAGGUAGGAAUACCCGCUGAACUUAAGCAUAUCAAUAAGCGGAGGA